GACGAACGCUGGCGGCGUGCUUAACACAUGCAAGUCGAACGGAAAGGCCCUGCUUUUGUGGGGUGCUCGAGUGGCGAACGGGUGAGUAACACGUGAGUAACCUUCCCUUGACUUUGGGAUAACUUCAGGAAACUGGGGCUAAUACCUGAUAGGAGCUCCUGCUGCAUGGUGGGGGUUGGAAAGUUUCGUCGGUUGGGGAUGGACUGGCGGCUUAUCAGCUUGUUGGUGGGGUAGUGGCUUACCAAGGCUUUGACGGGUAGCCGGCCUGAGAGGGUGACCGGGCACAUUGGGACUGAGAUACGGCGCAGACUCGUACGGGAGGCAGCAGGGGGGAAUAUUGCACAAUGGGCGGAAGCCUGAUGCAGAAACGCCGCGUGCGGGAUGACGGCCUUCGGGUGGUAAACCGCUUUCGCCUGUGACGAAGCGUGAGUGACGGUAAUGGGUAAAGAAGCACCGGCUAACUACGUG
rnacentral:rRNA from 1 species